CCUACGGGAGGCAGCAGUGGGGAAUAUUGCACAAUGGGGGAAACCCUGAUGCAGCGACGCCGCGUGAGUGAAGACGUAAUUCGUUAUGUAAAGCUCUAUCAGCAGGGAAGAAAAUGAUGGUACCUGAGUAAGAAGCUCCGGCUAACUACGUGACAGCAGCCGCGGUAAUACGUAGGUGGCAAGCGUUAUCCGGAUUUACUGGGUGUAAAGGGAGCGUAGACGGCAGUGCAAGGCUGAGGGUAAAGGCGGGGGCCCAAACCCCGGACUGCUCUGGAAACUGGACGACUAGAGUGCAGGAGAGGUAAGUGGAAUGCCUAGUGGAGCGGUGAAAUGCGUAGAUAUUAGGAGGAACACCAGUGGCGAAGGCGGCUUACUGGACUGUAACUGACGUUGAGGCUCGAAAGCGUGGGGAGCAAACAGGAUUAGAUACCCGAGUAGUC
rnacentral:rRNA from 1 species